GUGAUCGCUUCAGCAGCACAUAUGUACUAAAACUGGAAGAAUACAGAGAUUAGUUAGCAUGGUCCCAGCACAAGGAUGACACACAAAUUUGUGAAGUAUUAAAAAAUAAA
ensembl:snRNA U6 U6 spliceosomal RNA